UUAAAUUGAAGAGUUUGAUCAUGGCUCAGAUUGAACGCUGGCGGCAGGCCUAACACAUGCAAGUCGAACGGUAACAGGAAGAAGCUUGCUUCUUUGCUGACGAGUGGCGGACGGGUGAGUAAUGUCUGGGAAACUGCCUGAUGGAGGGGGAUAACUACUGGAAACGGUAGCUAAUACCGCAUAACGUCGCAAGACCAAAGAGGGGGACCUUCGGGCCUCUUGCCAUCGGAUGUGCCCAGAUGGGAUUAGCUUGUUGGUGGGGUAACGGCUCACCAAGGCGACGAUCCCUAGCUGGUCUGAGAGGAUGACCAGCCACACUGGAACUGAGACACGGUCCAGACUCCUACGGGAGGCAGCAGUGGGGAAUAUUGCACAAUGGGCGCAAGCCUGAUGCAGCCAUGCCGCGUGUAUGAAGAAGGCCUUCGGGUUGUAAAGUACUUUCAGCGGGGAGGAAGGGAGUAAAGUUAAUACCUUUGCUCAUUGACGUUACCCGCAGAAGAAGCACCGGCUAACUCCGUGCCAGCAGCCGCGGUA
rnacentral:rRNA from 1 species